rnacentral:misc_RNA from 1 species
GAAAUGCGAUAAGUAAUGUGAAUUGCAGAAUUCAGUGAAUCAUCGAAUCUUUGAACGCACCUUGCGCUCCCUGGUAUUCCGGGGAGCAUGCCUGUUUGAGUGUCAUGGUAUUCUCAUCCUUCAUAACUUUUGUUAUCGAAGGCAUGGACUUGGAGGUCGUGCUGGUUCCUCGUUGAAUCAGCUCCUCUUAAAUGUAUUAGCGUGAGUGUAACGGAUCGCUUCGGUGUGAUAAUUAUCUGCGCCGUGGUCGUGAAGUAACAUAAGCUUGCGCUUCUAACCGUCCUUAAGCUGGACAACUUACUUUGACAUCUGACCUCAAAUCAGGUAGGACUACCCGCUGAACUUAA